CAAGGAAAGACAGUGCUACCUCCAGACAAGUUUCAGGAACCAGGAGUGCAGUCUCAACACUGUGUGGGUCAUUAUGACAAAAUCAAUCAAUUAGAAAUGGCCUAUUAAAUAGAAAAACUGUUAUCUUAAAUUUUUCCUAUUUUUUUAAACGUAUGUAAUCGCAACCCCCAGAAUGCUUCAUUCCCCAGGUGGUUUGCUCUCCUGGAGUUCAGCUUGUUUACGGAGCCGUAUUAUAUUGAUGGGCUUGCCAAGUUUCUCCGUUCUGAAAUUCAUAGAAAACACACGCUGAGGUGUACAUUGUCACAGAACCAUCUGGAGGCCUCUAUGUUAAUGUCAACUGAAAAGGACAUCCUCUUGACUUUGGACAAAGACGGGCUGAAGAUGAGGUCUCAUGAUUAAUCACUGCCUGGAUAAUGCAGCCUGCUUUUCUACUGGGCUUUCCGGGCAACUAGUGGAAGGCUUCUGAAGGAUCGAGUUUCAGCUCUGAAGAGACUCACGGGACAUGGAUAUUAAUGAAGAUGGAUUUUACCUGAGAAACAAUUUCCCGAACCGCUGCAUUCAUUACACUGUGUUACCUGCAGAGCAGGCGAGCGCAGGUGUGUCCCAUGACCGAGCGAUCGUUAACCGAAACGGUCCGGACGUGAUGCGGCGAUGCUGCCGUGAAGACCGCGGAUCAGAAACACACGGCUGUCCUGCCUUUAAACUGAUGAUGCUGAUUUUUCCGCACCAGAUCACAAAAGUAAGUAAAAUUAGGGCGAGCUUACAGUAAACUGAAGUUGUUGGAACUUUGUUUUGGUGUUGGACGUCCUGUGCUUGUUGCUUGUUUAUCUUGCAAGCUUGGUACUACAGAGGAUGUACAGAGGCAUUUCCAUAUCAGGUGUGAUAUACAAUAAAGUGUGUGCAUCACACACACACACACACACACACACCUACACGUACACACAAACACACACGUCCAUGCAAACAUACACACACACAAGCACACAUGCGCGCAAACACAUAUAUACGUACGUGCAAUCACACACUCGUGCACAGAUAGAACACUCUCAUA